GACUGAAAUUCAAAGUCACAAAUUAACACAUUUAACAUAUGGCAGAGCCAGAAAUUGAUCACAGAUUAAGCUGUCCCCAAAGUCUUUAUUUUGGCAUUCUGAGAUCCAGACUGCUACACAUUAUGUUAACUAUUCAGAUAAAAUCUGCAACUAAAGAGAAAGCUGAUAUAUUGUAAGAAUCUGGUCAGAGAAAGGCAAAAGUAGGACUACAAAAUUUUAAACACUUUGCUUCAAGGAAGUUAAUAUCAAACCCUAAUUCACAUUUUUAAUUUAUAUUUCUGGUUAAGUCAUAGGAUUUUAUAACUUGUGUCUCAAGCAGUUAAUAUAAUCCAAAUGGCUUAGCAUCAUCAUAAGUAUAAGCAUUUAUCAUUACACUCUUUUCAACGUCAUGCACACAAGUUUCAAUGUUUAGAAUUUAAUGUAUGAAAGUGGUGUUCAAAAUAUACCUUACAUUUGCAGCAGCUUUCUGGAGGCUAAAUAUAAAAAAAAAAACUUCCAUGGUGUUGGUCAAAAUACUGG
rnacentral:lncRNA from 1 species